rnacentral:rRNA from 1 species
AUUGAACGCUGGCGGCAGGCCUAACACAUGCAAGUCGAACGAGUGGCGGACGGGUGAGUAAUGUCUGGGAAACUGCCCGAUGGCGGGGGAUAACUACUGGAAACGGUAGCUAAUACCGCAUACCAUCGGAGGUGCCCAGAUGGGAUUAGCUUGUAGGUGAGGUAACGGCUCACCUAGGCGACGAUCCCUAGCUGGGCUGAGAGGAUGACCAGGAAAAAUGGAACUUAAACAAGGUCCAGACUCGUACGUGCGGCAGCAGUGGGGAAUAUUGCACAAUGGGCGCAAGCCUGAUGCAGCCAGGCCGCGGGUAUGAGGAAGGUCUUCGGGUUGUAAAGUACUUUCAGCGGGGAGGCGUUACCCUCAGAAGAAGCACCGGCGAACUCCGUGCUAGCAGCCGCGGUAAUAC